CUUUCCCUGCUCAUGAUUACUCAGGUCUCAGACCUUCCUCCCCACCACUGGUGACAAAAAGAAGGAUUUGACUCUGCCCAGCUUGUUCCAAAUGCCAGGAGCCUCCCAUCAGGUACUCAAGUUUUCCGGUGACAUUAGCCCAAAUGGCAGUUCUCAGAACUCCAAGGGUGCGGAGUUUGUCACUUGACUUCUAUCUUCCCCGUCCCCCACCUUGCUCCUUGGUGAAUUGGGAAGGAGUGGAGGAAACUGCGGUUGUAGGCCAACAGAGGCUUGCCAAGUAGGCAGGGUAAAUUACCAUGACGUCAAAGUCAGAGAAGACUUGAAAAGCUCCCUUCCAGCCCCCUUCCCCCCCCCAAAAAAAAAGACAGGUCAGUACCUUCUCCCCAAGAAAAUGCUUGCUGGAUGGCUUCCUGCAUGCCUGCCCUCAAGGGAUGAAGGGCAGAAAUGGAGAGAAGAGAGAGCUGAGAACAGAACACAGCAGGAUUCAAGAUAUCAAGGCCUCCCCCAUUUCAUAAAGCCAACCAAAAAAAUGAUGAUUCUGGAUGCCCCAAGGCACCUACAACUUCCCCUCAUGGAUUUUAUGAAUGACAAGUUGAUAAACUCAAAAUACAAGUCUACAGAAACCUUUCUCAAUGAGGACAUCAAAGCAGAAAAUGUUAAGUACAGACUGCCAAUGAGGGCCAUCUGGGGUCCCAAAAAACCCUUACAGACACUAUAUACUGACCUUAUAACAUCCUCCAAGACUCCAACUUACAAAAAAGAAUCUCUUCCAGAUCCGAAGAAUACGUGGGCAGAAUUCAACAUCAACAAGAUUCCUAAGCACAGUAAAUACUACUGA
rnacentral:lncRNA from 1 species